rnacentral:rRNA from 1 species
GACGAACCGUGCGAACGUUGUUCGGAAUCACUGGGCUUAAAGGGCGCGUAGGCGGUUUCUCAAGUCCGGGGUGAAAGCUUUCGGCUUAACCGGAAAAGGGCCUUGGAUACUGAGAAGCUGGAGGGAGGUAGGGGCCGUUGGAACUUCCAGUGGAGCGGUGAAAUGCGUUGAUAUUGGAAGGAACUCCGGUGGCGAAAGCGAACGGCUGGAUCUCUUCUGACGCUGGGGCGCGAAAGCGUGGGGAGCGAACAGG